GAGAUAGCUCAGUUGGUUAGAGCGUGGUGCUGAAAUGCCAAGGUUGCAGGUUUAAUCCCCAUAUGAGACA
rnacentral:tRNA from 1 species